rnacentral:rRNA from 1 species
UACGUAGGGUGCAAGCGUUUGUCCCGGAAUUAUUGGGCGUAAAGGGCUCGUAGGCGGCCAACUAAGUCAGACGUGAAAUCCCUCAGCUUAACUGGGGAACUGCGUCUGAUACUGGAUGGCUUGGAUUCGGGAGAGGAAUGCGGAAUUCCAGGUGUAGCGGUGAAAUGCGUAGAUAUCAGGAAGAACACCAAUGGCGAAAGCAGCUUUCUGGGACGGUACUGACGCUGAGACGCGAAAGCGUGGGGAGCGAACAGG